rnacentral:rRNA from 1 species
CACUCCUACGGGAGGCAGCAGUGGGGGAAUAUUGCACAAUGGGCGCAAGCCUGAUGCAGCCAUGCCGCGUGUGUGAAGAAGGCCUUCGGGUUGUUAAAGCACUUUCAGUCGUGAGGAAGGUAGUGUAGUUAAUAGCUGCAUUAUUUGACGUUAGCGACAGAAGAAGCACCGGCUAACUCCGUGCCAGCAGCCGCGGUAAUACGGAGGGUGCGAGCGUUAAUCGGAAUUACUGGGCGUAAAGCGCAUGCAGGUGGUUUGUUAAGUCAGAUGUGAAAGCCCGGGGCUCAACCUCGGAAUAGCAUUUGAAACUGGCAGACUAGAGUACUGUAGAGGGGGUAGAAUUUCAGGUGUAGCGGUGAAAUGCGUAGAGAUCUGAAGGAAUACCGGUGGCGAAGGCCGGCCCCCUGGACAGAUACUGACACUCAGAUGCGAAAGCGUGGGGAGCAAACAGGAUUAGAUACCCUGGUAG